rnacentral:rRNA from 1 species
GGGGAAUCAGGGUUCGAUUCCGGAGGGGGAGUCUGAGAAAUAGCUACCACAUCCAAGGAAGGCAGCAGGCGCGCAAAUUACCCACUCCCGAAACGGGGAGGUAGUGACGAUAAAUAACGAUGCGGGACUCAAUCGAGGCCCCGUAAUUGGAAUGAGUACACUUUAAAUCCUUUAACGAGGAUCAAUUGGAGGGCAAGUCUGGUGCCAGCAGCCGCGGUAAUUCCAGCUCCAAUAGCGUAUAUUAAAGUUGUUGCAGUUAAAAAGCUCGUAGUUGGAUCUCAGGAUUUGGAUGGAUGGUUCGCUUUCGGGCGCUACUAUCUGUCUGACCUACUCUAGUCGUGGAUGCCUUGGGUGCUCUUAAUUGAGUGCUUUUGGUGCCCGACGCAAUUACUUUGAAAAAAUUAGAGUGCUCAAAGCAGGCGUAUUGCCUGAAUAGUGUUGCAUGGAAUAAUGAAAUAGGAGUUUACUUCUAUUUUGUUGGUUUUCGGAGGUGAACUAAUGAUUAACAGGGACAGACGGGGGCAUUUGUAUGGAGGGGUUAGAGGUGAAAUUCUUGGAUCCUCUCCAGACAAACUACUGCGAAAGCAUUUGCCAGGAAUGUUUUCACUAAUCAAGAACGAAAGUCAGAGGUUCGAAGACGAUCGGAUACCGUCCUAGUUCUGACCAUAAAUGAUGCCAUCUAACAAUCCACGAAGUUUGCUUGUACGAACUCGUGGGCGGUCCCCGGGAAACCAAAGAUUUUGGGUUCCGGGGGAAGUAUGGUUGCAAAGCUGAAACUUAAAGGAAUUGACGGAAGGGCACCACCAGGAGUGGAGCCUGCGGCUUAAUUUGACACAACACGGGAAACCUCACCCGGCCCGGACACUUUUAGGAUUGACAGAUUGAAGGCUCUUUCUUGAUCAAGUGGUUGGUGGUGCAUGGCCGUUCUUAGUUGGUGGAGCGAUUUGUCUGGUUAAUUCCGAUAACGAACGAGACUCUACUCUGCUAAAUAGAACGUUGAUAUAUAAAAGUCAGUGCUGACUUCUUAGAGAGACUAACGGCGUUUAGCCGUGUGAGAAAGAGCAAUAACAGGUCUGUGAUGCCCUUAGAUGUCCGGGGCCGCACGCGCGCUACACUGACUGCAGCAACUAGUAUGCUCCUGGUUUGAAAAAACUGGGUAACCUGGUUGAAUUGCAGGCGUGACAGGGAUCAGAGUUUGCAAUUAUCCUCUGUGAACGAGGAAUUCCCAGUAAGCGCAAGUCAUUUGCUUGUGCUGAUUACGUCCCUGCCCUUUGUACACACCGCCCGUCGCUACUACCGAUUGAAUGGUUUAGUGAGGUCUUCGGAUUGGUGCUGAUGGAGUGGUUCUCUGCUCUGUUAGUGCCGAGAAGAUGAUCAAACUUGAUCAUUUAGAGGAAGUAAAAGUCGUAACAAGGUU